GUGGGUGGCCUAACAAAGCCACUCAUUGCUGUUGGACGAUUUCUCAUUUGCUCUCCCCUGCUUGGAAGAGCAGCACAUUAAGUGAGGAGCGAGGGCUUUGCACUUCUUUGUGUGUGGUUUUUGGGACCUAUUUUGGUGUUGGGGAGCAGAGGUGCAAAAAAAACAGAUCGACAAAGCAAGUAGUCUUGUAUGUGUGGGUCUGUCCUCAGUUUUUAUUCUAACAGCUAGCUGAAGGUGGGGCACAAAAGAGAGAAGACUUGUUCUGUCAUCCAAUAUAUCGCUUAGAACGGUGUUCUGCACGCAGGAAGUGCUUAAUCAGUACAAUUGAAUGAAAGGGGUUAACGAGCUGUAUUUAAUAACAACAGUGCCUCAGCCAUUAUGUUCUGUUUCCUCAUUCUGACCCCUAAACAGCCCGAACCUUCCUUUGCCGUCGAUGUCUGCAUUCUGUCUGUGCUCUCUCUAGGUAAAAACCCUAGAUCCAUCAGGAUGGCAGGCAGGGGAAUAGUGUGGAAACGCAAGCGAGGUCUGCAAGCAGGUGAAAAGUGGAGCCUGUCGGCCAAGUUGCUCAUAAGUGUUAUGUUUGCAGGGAAAUCUAGAGAGUUUUCUUUGGAGAAAAAAAUCAAAGAACAGAGAAGUUUUCAGGACUCAGCUUACCGCAUCUUUAAAGACUCCAAGUCUGAUGGUACAUAGAAGGAUGAAGCUGCAUAAAGAAGAAUUAUUUAUCGUUGGUUAUCCUGAUAGUGAAUUGUAAUCUUCCUCUCAUUUUCUAGUCGACUUUGAAAGAGGAGGAGGGCAGGCUCCAUCCAGUAGCCAGUGGGAAGGCUAAAGGCUGGUUUUGGCGUGCUGCUGUUUUGCCACCUGGAAGGGCUUUCAAAACUGCUUCUUGGUAUCCGGUCUUUCCGAUGACUCCGCCCGAAAACGGCAACCCCUCUCGAUCAUUGCACGCUAGCUCCCUCCUUUCCCUGACCCGUGAAGCCGAUCCACUGAAACCGAGGCAGAUUGGUGUUCGGGUGAAAAGGGGAUACUGCAGCUCUUAAAGGAUUGCUUGUUCAAACAACAUCACCACCACCAUCACCACCACGUAGUUACACAGUGACUAAAAAUACAACACACGGUUCACGGACUAAGCCUCAGUAGUAAGUUAAUAAAUACAUCCUAUAGAUA